rnacentral:rRNA from 1 species
UACGGGGGGGGCAAGCGUUGUUCGGAAUUACUGGGCGUAAAGGGCGCGUAGGCGGCCGAUCAAGUCAGGCGUGAAAUUCCCGGGCUCAACCUGGGGGCUGCGCUUGAUACUGAUUGGCUUGAAUGCGGGAGAGGAUAGUGGAAUUCCCAGUGUAGAGGUGAAAUUCGUAGAUAUUGGGAAGAACACCAGUGGCGAAGGCGACUCGCUGGACAAGUAUUGACGCUGAGGUGCGAAAGCGUGGGGAGCAAACAGG